UACGUAGGGUGCAAGCGUUAAUCGGAAUUACUGGGCGUAAAGCGUGCGCAGGCGGUUUUGUAAGCCAGAUGUGAAAUCCCCGGGCUUAACCUGGGAAUGGCAUUUGGGACUGCAAGGCUGGAGUGCGGCAGAGGAGACUGGAAUUCCUGGUGUAGCGGUGAAAUGCGCAGAUAUCAGGAGGAACACCGGUGGCGAAGGCGGGUCUCUGGGCCGAGUGAUUGACGCUGAGGAGCGAAAGCGUGGGGAGCGAACAGGA
rnacentral:rRNA from 1 species